rnacentral:rRNA from 1 species
GGAAUCUUGCGCAAUGCGCGAAAGCGUGACGCAGCAACGCCGCGUGGGGGAAGAAGGCCUUCGGGUUGUAAACACCUUUCAGUUGGGACGAAGCUUCGCCGGUGAAUAGCCGGCUGGAGUUACGGUACCUUCACAAGAAACCCCGGCUAACUACGUGCCAGCAGCCGCGGUAAUACGUAGGGGGCUAGCGUUGUCCGGAAUCAUUGGGCGUACAGCGCGUGUAGGCGGCCCGGUAAGUCCGCUGUGAAAGUCGGGGGCUCAACCCUCGAAAGCCGGUGGAUACUGUCGGGCUCGAGUACGGAAGAGGCGAGUGGAAUUCCUGGUGUAGCGGUGAAAUGCGCAGAUAUCAGGAGGAACACCGAUUGCGAAGGCAGCUCGCUGGGACGUAACUGACGCUGAGACGCGAAAGCGUGGGGAGCAAAC